rnacentral:lncRNA from 1 species
AGCCUCCCCUUUUCUCCAGCCGAACUAAGCCAAACUCCUUUGGCCAUGGCCCCAUCGCAGCCUACAACGGACGCCUUCGUCCCUCAUCGUCGAUUUACAACCCUGCGAUUUCUCCUCCACCUUCGACUUCAACGAGGCGAGGAAGAACCAAUGGCGGAUUUGCGAGGUAAGGUUUCGCCCUUCUCUUUUCUUUUAUUUGUUUUCGAAAUAAAAUAAGAAAAAGUAAAACAAAAUACAAAGCAAGAGAAUGACCACAAAGAGAAAGCCCGAAGAUUUAGAUCGAAAAAAUCACCUUCCGAUAUUGGUUUUUUUUGUAUUGUCUAUUGUGUAUUCGUGAAAUAUGCCUUCCUCCUUUUACAAUUGAUAAUCUUUGUGGCUUUAUAGCCGAAAAAAAAGAUCCAAAGAAAAUACAACAAACUUCUAUGCUAUAUGUUUUUUCUCUUUGUCAUGCUGUCUCUUUUGCAUUUGCUCGCAAGUACGAAUGUACAGAGCUUGGUGGUCGUACGGUGCUGCGCUAGCAGUGAGGAAGAAGGGCUGCUUGGUGGCUACUACGGCGCCUAGUAGAAACCCUAGGGUUCUGAGUGCUUAAUGUUUUUGGGCUUGUCGGGCCGUGUAACUUUGGGCUAGGUUUUAGGUUUUUUUGGGCCUUAUUGGGUUGAUGACACUGGGUUUUGUAACUGGACUGUUUGGUUUUAUUUAUUUGUUUUUAAUUUUGGUUUUCGGUUGUUGGGCCCGGGCAGAUUUGGCCCAUUACAAUUAGUACCUAAACUUAUUUACCUCUAUCAGAUUGGUACUUAUGAUUUUUUUUCUAAAUUGGUAUCCAAAUUUUUUUUCCAUCCAUUAGUUUGGUACUAAGCCUAAUGACAUUAAAAUUUUAUUGACGUAGUAGCAUUGGCUACUAAGAUGUUGCCACGUGUCACACUCCCAAAACCCUUUUAUCUUUUCUUUAAUUAAAAAUUAAAAAAAAACAAAAAUUAAGAAAAGGAAACGAUUGAGAUUGCCCAGAUUCAAAGCUUUUUCCCCAGAAAAUAUCAACUGCAACUUCGAUUUUCGUCCUCUUCUUCAUCAAAUUUUCAAUUUUUUUUGUUUUGCUGUUUGGUUGUCAAUUAAUCAUCCUCAAUUUUUAUUUUUCUUCUUCUUUUUGGUUCAAAUCAAAACCCCAUACCCAAAAUCAAAACCCCCAUUUCUCCUUCCUUCCCCUAAUCUCUCACCACCCCCCUCUCUCUCUCAGAUCUUUCUUCGUUUCCUUCUGUAUCUUUAGGGUUUUAAUUUCUUCUUCAUCUUAUCGUUCUUUUAUCUACUAUAUCUAGCUAGGGUUUUUUUUCAUAUUUUUUUUGUUAUGUCGAUUUUUGUAAAUAUGGAUAAACCCAAUGGCAAACUUCAUAACAACUUCUUCUUAUCUUCCUCAAAUUUCUUUCCUCAAUUCCUUCUUUUCUUUUUUGAUUUUCCUCCUAUUGAGUAACUUUUUCUUAUGUCUUAUUGAUGAGAGUAUUCGAGUAUUUAUACAUGCUAUUAUAACUUAUAGCAUGACCCCACUCUCUUGUCUUGACUCCACCAUUCCUAAUACUGACAUUCUGCGCGGAUCUCAGACUUGUUGGACACAUGUUUCACUCUAGGUUGCUUGUGGAGCAUGCGGUCCUUCUUGUUCCUAGAAUUGACAUUCUGUGUGGGCUUUAGGUCUACUGGACACCUAUUUCACUCUAGGUUGCUUGCGGUACACGUGGUCCCCCUUCCACGAGCUCCUUGGACAAGUGCAAACUAGGACUGUGACCUUCGUUUGGCUCGUGUGAGCUAAACUUGCGAGCUUGCCUUGUGAGUUGGGUCUGCGAAAUCCUCUUGAUGUCCUCUCACGGUUCACCUCACCCUUUGUCAUUUGGCGAAGCCUAUUUGGGUCACGAGUGGGUGACCUGGAUCCUAUUUAGGACUCGGGUUGAUGAUUACAAUUGUAUAACACCCCUUUUACUUAAUUAGCUUGAUUUUAUGAUGCGAAAAGAUGAUGAAUUUUGCUUUAAAAGUUCCUUUAUUAUUUUUCCUUCUUGGGUACCAAACAAGUCUUUACUGUUAUCCUGGUUGAUCGCGUCUAUGCUACUAUUUAAUUGCUAAAUUAGUUAAUGAUUUUGCAAAUAAUGCACUUUUUGAUGCAUCCCAAUAUGAAUUUUUUGGUCAAAAUGCUAUGGAAGAUGUGGAGUUAGGGGUCUAGAAGAUGAUGAACAGGAUGCAAAAAGUGGGGUUUCUUAUUAUUAUUCCUUUGUCCUUUUGGUUUUCCUUUAGAAACCCCAAUAUUGGGAUGGGGUUUAACAACGUGAUGGUGAUGAAAGGGAAAGAAAAAAACCAAAGGGAUAAUGGAUAAGUGAUAAGAUGGAUCAACGGGUCAAAGGAGUCUUGGGAGUGUGACAUGUAGCGCGCGAGUGGUCAGUGUUGCCACAUCAGCAAAAUUUUAACGUUGUUAAACUCAGGUUCCAAACUAGUGGACAGAAAAAAAGUUCAGGUACUAAUCUCAGACAAAAAAAACCAUAGUUACCAAUCUAGGAGAAGUAGACAAGUUCUUGUACUAAUUUUAUAUUUAACCAUUAUAUUUAUUAAAACAUUUUUAAAUUUAAAGAUUAAUUUAAAUUAUUGAAUUAAUUUGAUACUCAAUUUUAGAAAAUAAUCAAAAUUAAUAGGAUUAAUUUAUGGAUAAUUAUCUUAGUUUUUCAAUUUUAGAUUAAAAACGCUGAUUUUAGAAAAAUAAAAAUAAAUAAAAAUGUGAU